CUCGACGUCGACCUCCACAUCGACGAAAACAACAACCCGGAUUGUUGCGGCGUUCGCGUGCUGUGCGGCGCCCUCGAACGCGCGCGCGAACGCGGGUACGACGGGUCCGUGGUGCUCGGGCACGUCACGUCGCUGGCGCUACAAACGACGGAGGUUCAGGCGGAGGUGGUCGCCAGGCUCGCGAAGCUCGCGCCCGUGCACGUGGUGUGCAACCCGUUCACCAACCUCGGUUUGCAG
rnacentral:lncRNA from 1 species